CAUGCAAGUCGAGCGAAUGGAUUAAGAGCUUGCUCUUAUGAAGUUAGCGGCGGACGGGUGAGUAACACGUGGGUAACCUGCCCAUAAGACUGGGAUAACUCCGGGAAACCGGGGCUAAUACCGGAUAACAUUUUGAACCGCAUGGUUCGAAAUUGAAAGGCGGCUUCGGCUGUCACUUAUGGAUGGACCCGCGUCGCAUUAGCUAGUUGGUGAGGUAACGGCUCACCAAGGCAACGAUGCGUAGCCGACCUGAGAGGGUGAUCGGCCACACUGGGACUGAGACACGGCCCAGACUCCUACGGGAGGCAGCAGUAGGGAAUCUUCCGCAAUGGACGAAAGUCUGACGGAGCAACGCCGCGUGAGUGAUGAAGGCUUUCGGGUCGUAAAACUUUGUUUGUU
rnacentral:rRNA from 1 species